GACGUAGGGGGCCAGCGUUGUUCGGAAUUACUGGGCGUAAAGGGUCAGUAGGCGGUGUGGCAAGUUGGGAGUGAAAUCUCUGGGCUCAACCCAGAGGCUGCUUCCAAAACUGCUGUGCUUGAGUGUGAGAGAGGCGCGUGGAAUUGCAGGUGUAGCGGUGAAAUGCGUAGAUAUCUGCAGGAACACCCGUGGCGAAAGCGGCGCGCUGGAUCACAACUGACGCUGAAUGACGAAAGCUAGGGGAGCAAACAGG
rnacentral:rRNA from 1 species